rnacentral:rRNA from 1 species
UACGUAGGGUGCGAGCGUUGUCCGGAUUUAUUGGGCGUAAAGAGCUUGUAGGCGGUUUGUCGCGUCGGCCGUGAAAUCUCCACGCUUAACGUGGAGCGUGCGGUCGAUACGGGCAGACUUGAGUUCGGUAGGGGAGACUGGAAUUCCUGGUGUAGCGGUGAAAUGCGCAGAUAUCAGGAGGAACACCGGUGGCGAAGGCGGGUCUCUGGGCCGGAACUGACGCUAAGGAGCGAAAGCGUGGGGAGCGAACAGG